AUCGCUUCUCGGCUCAUUGAGCUAAGAUCAAAGUGUAGUAUCUGUUCUUAUCAGCUUAAUAUCUGAUACGCUUCCCAUAGGGAAGCCAGAAUAUUAAACUGGUUUUUGGAAACUGGCGGAGCGUCUGGGGCUUGCUCCGGCUCUGCCGUGGGUCGACCCUACUUUGCAGUACCGUAGGGAACGGCCUAUUUUAA